GAGGCUUCGGCAAUGGGGGAAACCCUGACCGAGCGACGCCGCGUGAGGGAUGACGCCCUUCGGGGUGUAAACCUCUUUUCUGAGGGAAGAAACUCGGCGGAGUGAACAACUCCGUCGACUGACGGUACCUCAGGAAUAAGCUCCGGCCAACUCCGUUCCCGACGCCGCGGUAACACGGGGGGAGCAAACGUUGUUCGGAAUCACUGGGCGUAAAGGGCGCGUAGGCGGCCUCGUAAGUGGUGUGUGAAAUGUCCUGGCUCAACCAGGGAAUUGCGCUCCAAAUUGCGAGGCUUGAGGGCAGUAGAGGAAGCUGGAAUUCCAGGUGUAGCGGUGAAAUGCGUAGAUAUCUGGAGGAACACCGUUGGCGAAGGCGAGCUUCUGGGCUGUCUCUGACGCUGAGGCGCGAAAGCUGGGGGAGCAAACAGG
rnacentral:rRNA from 1 species